rnacentral:rRNA from 1 species
AUACGUAGGGUGCAAGCGUUAAUCGGAAUUACUGGGCGUAAAGCGUGCGCAGGCGGUUUUGUAAGACAGAGGUGAAAUCCCCGGGCUCAACCUGGGAACUGCCUUUGUGACUGCAGGGCUAGAGUACGGCAGAGGGGGAUGGAAUUCCGCGUGUAGCAGUGAAAUGCGUAGAUAUGCGGAGGAACACCGAUGGCGCAGGCAAGCCCCUGGGCCUGUACUGACGCUCAUGCACGAAAGCGUGGGGAGCAAACAGGAUUAGAUACCCUGGUAGUCCACGCCCUAAACGAUGUCAACUGGUUGUUGGGUCUUCACUGACUCAGUAACGAAGCUAACGCGUGAAGUUGACCGCCUGGGGAGUACGGCCGCAAGGUUGAAACUUAAAGGAAUUGACGGGG